GACCGCGUGGUCUAAUGGGUAAGGCGUCUGACUUUGAAUCAGAAGAUUGAGGAUUCGAGUCCCUUUGUGGUCG
rnacentral:tRNA from 1 species